UGCACAGAUGCACACAUGAUAUGUGUCACACC
rnacentral:piRNA from 1 species